rnacentral:rRNA from 1 species
AUUGAACGCUGGCGGCAGGCUUAACACAUGCAAGUCGAGCGGAGAGAGGUAGCUUGCUACCGAUCUUAGCGGCGGACGGGUGAGUAAUGCUUAGGAAUCUGCCUAUUAGUGGGGGACAACAUUUCGAAGGGAACGCUAAUACCGCAUACGUCCUACGGGAGAAAGCAGGAGAUUUUCGGACCUUGCGCUAAUAGAUGAGCCUAAGUCGGAAUAGCUAGUUGGUGGGGUAAAGGCCUACCAAGGCGACGAUCUGUAGCGGGUCUGAGAGGAUGGUCCGCCACACUGGGACUGAGACACGGCCCAGACUCCUACGGGAGGCAGCGGUGGGGAAUAUUGGACAAUGGGCGCAAGCCUGAUCCAGCCAUGCCGCGUGUGUGAAGAAGGCCUUAUGGUUGUAAAGCACUUUAAGCGAGGAGGAGGCUACUUUAGUUAAUACCUAGAGAUAGUGGACGUUACUCGCAGAAUAAGCACCGGCUAACUCUGUGCCAGCCGCCGCCGUAACAC